rnacentral:rRNA from 1 species
UGGGGAAUAUUGGACAAUGGGCGAAAGCCUGAUCCAGCCAUGCCGCGUGUGUGAAGAAGGUCUUCGGAUUGUAAAGCACUUUAAGUUGGGAGGAAGGGCAUUAACCUAAUACGUUAGUGUUUUGACGUUACCGACAGAAUAAGCACCGGCUAACUCUGUGCCAGCAGCCGCGGUAAUACAGAGGGUGCAAGCGUGAAUCGGAAUUACUGGGCGUAAAGCGCGCGUAGGUGGUUUGUUAAGUUGGAUGUGAAAUCCCCGUGCUCAACCUUGGAACUGCAUUCAAAACUGACUGACUAGAGUAUGGUAGAGGGUGGUGGAAUUUCCUGUGUAGCGGUGAAAUGCGUAGAUAUAGGAAGGAACACCAGUGGCGAAGGCGACCACCUGGACUAAUACUGUCACUGAGGUGCGAAAGCGUGGGGAGCAAACA